AGUGUGCAGCGGCUACAAUAUGAACAGAAAGUUGAAAAGUUCACAGCCAGAAUAAUUCGGUUCUGAUGAAUACACAAGAGGCAUUGAACCGUCAGAGGAGUUUCUGGUCCCAGUGAAGAGAGAAGGUUGAGCAAGCUGGACGGAUUCUGAAGGAGGAAAAGCAUAGGAGAGAGGGAUGCAGAUACAGGAAUCUCAAGAUGCUGGAUCCCUAUUGACUUGGCAAGUUUCUGGAGGGCUUCAUAAGGAGUGAAAGCUCAGCAGGGUCCGUCCAGAGCAAGUGAAGUCAAAGUGAUGGAGGAGCUGGUGUUCAGGACUCCUCACACUGGAAGAACUUGCCUCCAGUCCAGGAGGGCCCCAUUGUAAGACCGGGAACCAGUACACCAACAGAGCAUGGCCACAAAGAACAUAAGGAACCAUGGCUGCCUGAGCCACAACAGAAACUACCCAGAGUGCCUCAGCCUUGACCAAACAGGCUAACUAAGACACGAGGCAGCAAACAGGAGAUGACUCAAGCCAAUUCCAGACUGGGGAAUGCACCUCCCCAGACAGCCUGUGUAUACUUCAAUGCGAGAAGUAUACGAAAUAAGACUUGUUCGCUCUCAGUAAGCACAACCGCUCCCGAAGCCCUAACAGCGGCUUCACUCCCCACACAAACUGGAACUCCACAAAGGGUGCCCAGACUGAAAGGGACCAAGGUACCUCGCUUGUGGACUAACCUCGAUGGAAACCCAUUGAUAUCAGGAUGAGAAAGAUUAGCACCUACUCUCACUGAGGAUCGGAUUGCUGCUACUGGACGGCUGAUUGUCCUCCCACUGAUUGUGUUUUACACUUGAUUGUACUAUAACUCACAACACGUUACUGUAGCCCUAUAAAACUGCCUGGGCCCAGUGCUCGAGGAAG